rnacentral:tRNA from 1 species
GGAGAGAUGCGAGAGUGGUUUAAUCGAUCACCUUGGAAAGGUGACGUGUGGGCAACUGCACCGAGGGUUCGAAUCCCUCUCUCUCCGCAA